CCUACGGGAGGCUGCAGUGGGGAAUAUUGCACAAUGGGGGAAACCCUGAUGCAGCGACGCCGCGUGAGUGAAGAAGUAUUUCGGUACGUAAAGCUCUAUCAGCAGGGAAGAAAAUGACGGUACCUGACUAAGAAGCCCCGGCUAACUACGUGCCAGCAGCCGCGGUAAUACGUAGGGGGCAAGCGUUAUCCGGAUUUACUGGGUGUAAAGGGAGCGUACACGGCAGCGCAAGUCUGGAGUGAAAUCCCAUGGCUUAACCAUGGAACUGCUUUGGAAACUGUGCAGCUAGAGUGCAGGAGAGGUAAGCGGAAUUCCUGGUGUAGCGGUGAAAUGCGUAGAUAUUAGGAGGAACACCAGUGGCGAAGGCGGCUUACUGGACUGUAACUGACGUUGAGGCUCGAAAGCGUGGGGAGCAAACAGGAUUAGAUACCCGGGUAGUC
rnacentral:rRNA from 1 species